AUCACUGUAACCUUAUAAUACGAGUAUAUAGGUAAGUAUACGUGAAUUCAUGGAUGAUAGUUUUUCCGUCAUUUAGGUACAUAUAACUGUUUAAAAAAGAAUAAAAAUAGCAACCUAGCCAGAUUGACAUCUACGUAUGCUACACUUAGAUAUCUACCUAAUCUACUGAAAGAGAUUAAUAUGAAAAAUUAAACAGUUUAAGCAGUUUAUACGGUACCUAAGUCAAUCUCAAUAUUCAUUGAUUUCAAGUAAGAGCGAUAAGCUGCAAAUCUACCUGUACCUACGAGUUAUUUAUUAGCGAUCUUUUUCCGACCACGGUAUAGAAUAGAUUAGCGCAGGUAAUUCACGUAUGGCUUGAGUAACUAUACCACACUACCCUACACUACAUUAGAUAAAUGCACUGUCAAUGCAAGGAU